rnacentral:rRNA from 1 species
UACGAAGGGGGCUAGCGUUGCUCGGAAUGACUGGGCGUAAAGGGCGCGUAGGCGGCCUUCUAAGUCGAACGUGAAAUCCCCGGGCUCAACCCGGGGAACUGCGUCCGAUGCUGGAAGGCUUGAAUCCGGGAGAGGGAUGCGGAAUUCCGAGGUGUAGCGGUGAAAUGCGUAGAUAUUGGGAGGAACACCAGUGGCGAAAGCGACUUUCUGGGCCAUUCCUGACGCUGAGGUUCGAAAGCUCGGGGGAGCAAACAGG